CUCUCCAGUCUUUGCUUU
rnacentral:sRNA from 1 species